GCGAACGCUUGCGGCAGGCCUAACCCAUGCAAGUCGAACGGAUCCUUCGGGAUUAGUGGCGGACGGGUGAGUAACACGUGGGAACGUGCCCUUUGGUUCGGAACAACUCAGGGAAACUUGAGCUAAUACCGGAUGUGCCCUUCGGGGGAAAGAUUUAUCGCCAUUGGAGCGGCCCGCGUCUGAUUAGCUAGUUGGUGAGGUAACGGCCCACCAAGGCGACGAUCAGUAGCUGGUCUGAGAGGAUGAUCAGCCACACUGGGACUGAGACACGGCCCAGACUCCUACGGGAGGCAGCAGUGGGGAAUCUUGCGCAAUGGGCGAAAGCCUGACGCAGCCAUGCCGCGUGAAUGAUGAAGGUCUUAGGAUUGUAAAAUUCUUUCAGCGGGGACGAUAAUGACGGUACCCGCAGAAGAAGCUCCGGCUAACUGCGU
rnacentral:rRNA from 1 species